rnacentral:rRNA from 1 species
AUUGAACGCUGGCGGAAUGCUUUACACAUGCAAGUCGAACGGUAGAGGGGGCAACCCCUCGAGAGUGGCGAACGGGUGAGUAAUAUAUCGGAACGUGCCCAGGCGUGGGGGAUAACGUAGCAAAAGUUACGCUAAUACCGCAUACGAUCUAAGGAUGAAAGCGGGGGAUCGCAAGACCUCGCGCGAUGGGAGCGGCCGAUAUCAGCUUAGGUAGUUGGUGGGGUAAAGGCUCACCAAGCCAACGAUGCGGAGCUGGUCUGUGAGGACGACCAGCCCCACUGGAACUGAGACACGGCCCAGACUCCUACGGGAGGCAGCAGUGGGGAAUUUUGGACAAUGAGCGAAAGCCUGAUGCAGCCAUUCCGCGUGCAGGAUGAAGGCCCUCGGGUUGUAAACUGCUUUUGUACAGAACGAAAAGGAUUCUACUAAUACUAGGAGCUCAUGACGGUACGGUCAGAAUAAGCACCGGCUAACUACGUGCCAGCCGCCGCGGUAA